rnacentral:sRNA from 1 species
AAAAUGAAAAAUUAAGAAAAAAGAACAAACA